rnacentral:rRNA from 1 species
UACGUAGGGUGCGAGCGUUAAUCGGAAUUACUGGGCGUAAAGCGUGCGCAGGCGGUUCGCUGUGUCCGAUGUGAAAGCCCCGGGCUUAACCUGGGAAUGGCAUUGGAAACUGGCGGGCUUGAGUGCGGCAGAGGGGGGUGGAAUUCCGCGUGUAGCAGUGAAAUGCGUAGAGAUGCGGAGGAACACCGAUGGCGAAGGCGGUCUGCUGGGCAGUUGCUGACACUGAUGCGCGACAGCGUGGGGAGCAAACAGG